rnacentral:lncRNA from 1 species
AGAAGUAAAGAAAGAGUAAUAGGGGAGAAGUAAAGAUAGAGUAAUAAGAGGAGAAGUAAAGAAAGAAGGAGAAAUAACGAAAUAACUUGUAAAACAACUUGAAAAUCAUAUAAGAAAGCAUAUGCAUCCAAGGGGGAGCAAUUUGCAACAAUGAAAAUGAUCAAGUCAAAAAUUUCUAUCAAAUUUCAGAAUUUGGCACAUAGAAUUUCAGAAUUUGGCACGCACCUUUCACACCUCGAUACAUAACCUGAAACUCAUGUUUUAUCUCAAAUUUUUGGAGUUUCAUCUUUAAUGAAUUAUAAAUGAAAGGGGGAGUAACACAAAAAGUCAAAUUGGCAACAUUUAAAUGAAAUAGGGGGAGACUUCACUCUUAUAUAUGAAAAGCUGAAAUUCAGCAAGUUAAGCCCUUUCAAAAACUGAUUUUAAAAUAAGUAUCAAUAAGCUCAUACUCUUUAUUUUGUAAUCAUCAAAAAGGGGGAGAUUGAGAAUGAUA